rnacentral:lncRNA from 1 species
GAGAGGCUGAGGAGUACGUACCAAGGGACAGUUUGUGAGACUCUGGUAGGUCCGUGACUGAGGGCACCCUUGUGGGAUGCUGAGUGUAGCCAUCAGGAAGCUGGGUCCCAGCCAACUCAGCCUGGGCUCUGCCGUUCUCCAGUGGUCAGAUAAGAAAGAGCGGUGUGGUCCUCUAAGGGAGUGAGCGAGGCCUUUUGAGAAGGUGAAUCAGCGUGUGUUAGCUCAGGGCAGAGGGCCUGGCGGUGAGACGUGAGAACAGCCAAUGUCAUGGCGGUGGGGGAGUGGACGUGAGCCAUCUGGGGCCCAGCAAACAGCAUGUUGAAAAAAACGAGGAACUCAAAGGCAGAUGAGCCUACCACGCUGGGAACAGUUGGGAGUACAUUGCUCAAGGGCUUGGAAUGGAGGGGGUGGAGUUGAGGAGAUCACAGAGGACCUAGGAGUGUGUGUAUCGGAGAGAGAUAGGAAACCACUGACCGUUCAGCACACAUUCAGAAUUACUGCCUGUCCCAGGGAGGGACCCACAGCUCCGGCGCUCCGUUCAGCAUCUGGAAGAGCAUAGCUCGCUGUGAGCGGCCGCCCCAGAAGACUGUAUCCCACCCAGCCAGCUCUCCUGCCUGCUUGCCUCUGCCCCACACCAGGACACUUCAUACUGUCAGAACCACUGGGUGUGUGAGCUUGUGAGAGGGUGUGUGGGCACACAUGUCCCUGUGUGGGGUGUGGAGGUCAGAGGGCAACUUGGAGGAAUUGGUUCUCUCCUUCCACCACUGGGGCCCAGGAAUCAAGCCGAGGUUCCCAGACGUGGUAGCAGCCUCCCUUACCUGUUAAACCAGUGCUUCCCAGACUUCCUAAUGCUGUGACCUCAUGCUGUGCUGACCCCCGCCCAUGACAUUAUCUCUGUUGGUAUUUUAUAACUGUAAUUUUGCUACUAUUAUGAAUCACAAUGUAAAUG